rnacentral:rRNA from 1 species
CCUACGGGAGGCAGCAGUGGGGAAUUUUGGACAAUGGGCGCAAGCCUGAUCCAGCAAUGCCGCGUGCAGGAUGAAGGCCUUCGGGUUGUAAACUGCUUUUGUACGGAACGAAAAGUCUUGGGUUAAUACCCUGGGAUCAUGACGGUACCGUAAGAAUAAGCACCGGCUAACUACGUGCCAGCAGCCGCGGUAAUACGUAGGGUGCAAGCGUUAAUCGGAAUUACUGGGCGUAAAGCGUGCGCAGGCGGUUUUGUAAGACAGUGGUGAAAUCCCCAGGCUCAACCUGGGAACUGCCAUUGUGACUGCAAGGCUGGAGUGCGGCAGAGGGGGAUGGAAUUCCGCGUGUAGCAGUGAAAUGCGUAGAUAUGCGGAGGAACACCGAUGGCGAAGGCAAUCCCCUGGGCCUGCACUGACGCUCAUGCACGAAAGCGUGGGGAGCAAACAGGAUUAGAUACCCUGGUAGUCCACGCCCUAAACGAUGUCAACUGGUUGUUGGGAAUUUAUUUUCUCAGUAACGAAGCUAACGCGUGAAGUUGACCGCCUGGGGAGUACGGCCGCAAGGUUAAAACUCAAAGGAAUUGACGG